GUUGAACGCUGGCGGCAGGCCUAACACAUGCAAGUCGAGCGGAUGAAGGGAGCUUGCUCCUGGAUUCAGCGGCGGACGGGUGAGUAAUGCCUAGGAAUCUGCCUGGUAGUGGGGGAUAACGUCCGGAAACGGGCGCUAAUACCGCAUACGUCCUGAGGGAGAAAGUGGGGGAUCUUCGGACCUCACGCUAUCAGAUGAGCCUAGGUCGGAUUAGCUAGUUGGUGGGGUAAAGGCCUACCAAGGCGACGAUCCGUAACUGGUCUGAGAGGAUGAUCAGUCACACUGGAACUGAGACACGGUCCAGACUCCUACGGGAGGCAGCAGUGGGGAAUAUUGGACAAUGGGCGAAAGCCUGAUCCAGCCAUGCCGCGUGUGUGAAGAAGGUCUUCGGAUUGUAAAGCACUUUAAGUUGGGAGGAGGGGCAGUAAGUUAAUACCUUGCUGUUUUGACGUUACCAACAGAAUAAGCACCGGCUAACUUCGUG
rnacentral:rRNA from 1 species